GGGGUGCAUGUGUGCAUUGUCCAGGAGCAGCUAGGAGACGAUGGAGGAAAACCUUGUCUUUGGGGAGACUGCCUGGCAACUGUGUCAUGUCUCACAUGGGACAGGCAGUCAGCAGGGGAACAUGGAAGAUACUGUACCCAAGAGACACUGUCCAGUCAGAUGGAAAAAGCCAUUCCUCAUGUUCACUGAAUCCACUUGGAGUGGGAGUGCAGUGACCACUUGCAGUUGUCCAGCAGCCAGUUCUCUUCAGUGCUCCAUUGCCUUAAUAGACCAGAUGUCGUGGUUUAACCCCAGUCAGCAACCAAGCACCCCGCAGCUGUUUGCUCCUUCUGAACUUCAGCUCAGGUUCAGACCAAUGUUCCAGCCUGUCUGGUGCAGCAGCACAAAACCAGCAGGAGCACCCUGGCCACCUGCCAGCCCAAGCUGGCAAACAUCACCAUGGCUGUUAUCAAGAUGUUCCCAGGCACAAUUCAAUAAGGUGAAGUGGAUCACUUAAUCUGUGAUACUUUCCUGGAGUACUGCAUUCACUUUUGGAGUCCUCAGCAUAGGAAAG
rnacentral:lncRNA from 1 species